GUACGUGGCACGCGUUGUCCGGAAUUAUUGGGCGUAAAGCGCGCGCAGGCGGUUCUUUAAGUCUGAUGUGAAAGCCCACGGCUCAACCGUGGAGGGUCAUUGGAAACUGGAGAACUUGAGUACAGAAGAGGAAAGCGGAAUUCCACGUGUAGCGGUGAAAUGCGUAGAGAUGUGGAGGAACACCAGUGGCGAAGGCGGCUUUCUGGUCUGUAACUGACGCUGAGGCGCGAAAGCGUGGGGAGCAAACAGGGAUUAGAUACCCUGGUAGUCCACGCCGUAAACGAUGAGUGCUAAGUGUUAGGGGGGUUUCCGCCCCCUUAGUGCUGCAGCUAACGCAUUAAGCACUCCGCCUGGGGAGUACGGCCGCAAGGCUG
rnacentral:rRNA from 1 species